ACGAGGUUUCUAUGGUAAACGUUGCUCUGAGUCGUGCGGAAACUGUAGCUAUGGAGAGACCUGUCAUCCCAUUCAUGGAUUUUGCACAAACGGGUGUGACGUAGGCGUCUUUGGAGAAAAGUGCAAUAAAAUAUGUCCAAUGGGAUUCCAUGGAAGUAACUGUUACCUCUCAUGUGGCAACUGUGAUACGUGUGAUAGGUUUACAGGAAAAUGUUUAUCCCAAUGUUAUGCUGGUUGGAUGGGAUCACUAUGCACUCAAGAAUGCAAUAGCUUAGCAUAUGGACUUGAAUGUACAAAAAGGUGUGGAAAAUGCCUUAAUGGAAGGCAAUGCCACCAUAUUAACGGAAGCUGCUUUGAUGGAUGUGAUGCUGGGUUUGU